rnacentral:lncRNA from 1 species
GGAGCGGCGGGCGGGCGCGCGGCGCAGGUGGGAGGGCAGGGGCAAUGCGGGGAACCGGGCGCCGGGCGUUGUGCGCUGCAACCAGGCCGCCGCCAGGUAGUGCGAGACCGGGCGGGGCAGCGGCUCGGCGGGAGCUCGCCCACCCUUGAGCAAGCAGUAAUCCGAGCGUGAGUCCCUGGUUCUGGAAGGGGACGCAAGCCGGAGGACUCACGGUCUGUCACUUCACGCGUUUAGUAGCGGUUGCUGGGGGGGCCCCCGCGCGCACCGGCCCGGCCCGCGCCCGAAGCGCAGGUGGCGCCCCGGGACUGUCGCCUGCCGCAGACGGGCGGACGCGAAGCCUUCUCUUAGGAAAGCAGACCUCUUGUCCCGCCCUCGUGUCACAAAUAACACUACUUAAGAUUUCUUGCGCUACCUUGUGCACCUCUGAAGCUGCUGGUUUGGGACACCCUCCCCCCCACUCCCCCGGCUACGCAGAGGGACCAACCCGGGUACUCUGCCAGAGGUUACUCCCCCGUCUUGGAAAGGCAGGCUCCAACCGAAAGCGGGAGAGCACGUCUGGGGAAGGAGCCAGCGCUAUGCCAGGAAGCGCUGGAUCAUGCCAUCUUCUACCAGGUCUCUCCCCACCCCCAACAGAUGCUCCCAGCUGCACGUCCCUCUUCCUGGCAGUCAGGUGACAGGCCGGUUCCCGGGUCCCCCACCUCCCUCCCGCCGCCGCUCCCUGGUUGCCCUGUGCGGCGUCCCUCGCCUUUCUCCUGCCCCAGAGUCUAGAAAAUGUGCUGGAGAUAGAAAAGCAGUAUACGUAUAUGGGAUUUCCCCCCUUCGACCCUUUUUCAACGGGAUAAAGCUGCCUUGUCGUCCCUAUCUCACCCGCCUCUGCCACUUUUUUUUCCCCUAGCCACUUUGUCUAGAAUAGACAAUCUCUCAGAACCCAGGAUUUCUAGAUUUAUUUUGUGAAACAUUAAGACAUGAGGCGUGGGGGGAGGGGUAAGAAGGGUUUUCAUCUUACAGAGAAAGGAAAGAUCUCUCCAGCAUUUAGACAAAAGCCUGAACUAGCUCAAAAUAAUUCAUUUAACCUCUCCAAAGUAGAUCAAAUGAAGCCCUCCUUAGGUGUGUAAUGUCAGCCAGAGAGCAAGGUGAGGCAAAAGGGAUUUUUAAAAAGGGAUCCUGACUUCAGCUUGAGCUCGGUGUUAUACUUACUGCUAUAACAUCUGGCACGCUACAGUUCUCAAUGGUUACAUUAAAAGGUACACGUUUUGAAAGUUUAGAUUAGUCUGUUCAAGAUUUAGGUCUACAUUUAGGCUAUAAUUAUAUGCUCUUUUAAUGGUAGACAAGCAUAACAUCCAAACCAAACAGUAGUUAUUUCCCAGGUCUUCCUAGAUUGCCACACCCACCAAAUCCUAAAUUGAAAAGGAUUAGCUUUUCUGGUUUCUACUGAGAUCUAAAAUAAACUUUAAAUUGGCGCACUCGUACUUAGGUACCUGUGAGAAAAGCCACUGCGGACCCUCAGCCUUUGUUUCCAUCUUUGGACCAGGUUUGGAAGUUUGGCCUGAAUAGCAAAGU